rnacentral:rRNA from 1 species
GGCUCAGGAUGAACGCUAGCGGCAGGCUAACACAUGCAAGUCGAGGGGCAGCGGGAUGUAGCAAUACACUGCCGGCGACCGGCGGAUGGGUGCGUAACGCGUAUGCAACCUAACCUUAUACAGGGGAAUAACCUUUCGAAAGGGAGACUAACACCCCAUAGUAUUGAUUUAAGGCAUCUUAGAUUAAUUAAAUAUUUAUAGGUAUAAGAUGGGCAUGCGUAUGAUUAGCUAGUUGGUAAGGUAACGGCUUACCAAGGCGACGAUCAUUAGGGGUUCUGAGAGGAAGGUCCCCCCACACUGGUACUGAGACACGGACCAGACUCCUACGGGAGGCAGCAGUGAGGAAUAUUGGUCAAUGGGCGCAAGCCUGAACCAGCCAUGCCGCGUGCAGGAAAGACGGCCUUAUGGGUUGUAAACUGCUUUUACAUAAGACUAACCGUAUAUUUGCGAAUAUACCUGAAUGUAUUAUGAGAAUAAGGAUCGGCUAACUCCGUGCCAGCAGCCGC